AUGCCAGCCGCCGCGGUAAUACGGAGGAUGCAAGCGUUAUCCGGAAUCAUUGGGCGUAAAGCGUCCGCAGGUGGCACUUCAAGUCUGCUGUCAAAGGUCGGGGCUUAACUCCGAACAGGCAGUGGAAGCUGAAGCGCUCGAGUGCGGUAGGGGCAGAGGGAAUUCCUGGUGUAGCGGUGAAAUGCGUAGAGAUCAGGAAGAACACCGGUGGCGAAAGCGCUCUGCUAGGCCGCAACUGACACUCAGGGACGAAAGCUAGGGGAGCGAAUGGGAUUAGAUACCCCAGUAGUCCUAGCUGUAAACGAUGGAUACUAGGCGUUGCUUGUAUCGACCCAAGCAGUGCCGUAGCUAACGCGUUAAGUAUCCCGCCUGGGGACUACGGCCGCAAGGUUAAAACUCAAAGGAAUUGGCGGGG
rnacentral:rRNA from 1 species